rnacentral:rRNA from 1 species
UACGUAGGGGGCAAGCGUUGUCCGGAAUCAUUGGGCGUAAAGAGCGUGUAGGCGGCUCGGUAAGUCCGCUGUGAAAGUCCAGGGCUCAACCCUGGAAUGCCGGUGGAAACUGUCGAGCUCGAGUCCGGAAGAGGCGAGUGGAAUUCCUGGUGUAGCGGUGAAAUGCGCAGAUAUCAGGAGGAACACCAAUAGCGAAGGCAGCUCGCUGGGACGUUACUGACACUGAGGCGCGAAAGCGUGGGGAGCGAACAGG